CCUCAGUCCCACCGAAAGUGGUGCGUAUUUCUUUUUGGGUUGUCCCACCGAAAGUGGUGCAUUUCCUUUUUUGGUAAUAAUUUUACACUACAAACAAUGUGGCCUCACACACAUUUACACACCUUUACACUACACACUACAAGAAAACACGCGUUUAACGACCGAAAUUAACGACCGAAAAUUUCGGUCGUUAAUUUUGCGGCCUUAACGACCGAUUUACGACCGUUUAACGACCGAUUUUAUUUUU
rnacentral:lncRNA from 1 species